rnacentral:rRNA from 1 species
GAUGAACGCUGGCGGCGUGCCUAAUACAUGCAAGUCGAGCGAACAGACGAGGAGCUUGCUCCUCUGACGUUAGCGGCGGACGGGUGAGUAACACGUGGAUAACCUACCUAUAAGACUGGGAUAACUUCGGGAAACCGGAGCUAAUACCGGAUAAUAUAUUGAACCGCAUGGUUCAAUAGUGAAAGACGGUUUUGCUGUCACUUAUAGAUGGAUCCGCGCCGCAUUAGCUAGUUGGUAAGGUAACGGCUUACCAAGGCGACGAUGCGUAGCCGACGGGAGAGGGGGGUGGGCAGCCUGGGAAGGGGAACAGGGCCAAGGGGCCGACGGGAGGAGCCAGGAGGGAACGUGCGGCAAGGGGCGAGAGUUGGACGGAACGAGGCGAAGGGGGAUAGAAAGGGCUUGGGAGCGUAAUAACGGGUUACGGGGGAAAAACAAAUGUCGACGUAACAGAGCCGGUCGUGACGGUACUUAAUAAAAAAGCCACGGCUAACUACGGG